GCACAAGCGGUGGAGCAUGUGGUUUAAUUCGACGCAACGCGAAGAACCUUACCUGGGCUCGAAAUGUAGUGGAAUCCGGCAGAAACGUCGGCGUCUAGCAAUAGACCGCUAUAUAGGUGCUGCAUGGCUGUCGUCAGCUCGUGUCGUGAGAUGUUGGGUUAAGUCCCGCAACGAGCGCAACCCUUAUCUUCAGUUGCUACCAUUUAGUUGAGCACUCUGACGAAACCGCCUCGGAUAACGGGGAGGAAGGUGGGGAUGACGUCAAGUCCUCAUGGCCUUUAUGUCCAGGGCUACACACGUGCUACAAUGGCCGGUACAAACCGCUGCAAACCCGCGAGGGGGAGCUAAUCGGAAAAAGCCGGCCUCAGUUCGGAUUGGAGUCUGCAACUCGACUCCAUGAAGCUGGAAUCGCUAGUAAUCGUGGAUCAGCAUGCCACGGUGAAUACGUUCCCGGGC
rnacentral:rRNA from 1 species